GUUCCCCAGUCUUACUGCAGGCACAGUGAAACAAGCAUUGUGUACUGUCAUUUUCUGGAGUAGAUGAACUAGAUUCCUUCCCUCCCCAGCUGAGUUUAUUGCGAUACUCUCUGGGGCCUAUUGAAUGGUCUGACUGA